AGGAUGAACGCUGGCGGCGUGCCUAAAACAUGCAAGUCAUACGGGCUACCUUCGGGUAGCCAGUGGCAAACGGGUGAGUAACACGUGGGAACGCGCCUUGGGGUGGGGAAUAACGCUGAGAAAUCAGUGCUAAUACCGCAUAUGUUCUAACGACUAAAGCAGCAAUGCGCCCCGAGAGCGGCCCGCGACCGAUUAGCUAGUUGGUGGGGUAAUGGCCUACCAAGGCGGUGAUCGGUAGCUGGUCUGAGAGGAUGGUCAGCCACACUGGGACUGCGAACGGCCCAGACUCCUACGGGAGGCAGCAGUUAGGAAUUUUCGGCAAUGGACGAAAGUCUGACCGAGCGACGCCGCGUGGAGGAUGACGCCUUUCGGGGUGUAAACUCCUUUUCUGCGGGAAGAUAAUGACGGUACCGCAGGAAUAAGCACCGGCUAACUACGCGCCAGCAGCCGC
rnacentral:rRNA from 1 species